AUGGAGCCGCAUCGCUCGGACCCCUUCUGCGCGCCAUGGCUGUCGCGUGUCCUCUUCUCCGCCUACAUUGCCGGUGACCACGACCGCACCUCCUCUCCGCUGCCUCCUGCGGCACCCCUUCACCUUGCAAGACCAGCAUGGCCGCCGGCCAUGGAGGCUUCUGUGCUAGCCCGCAGCUUCUCCUCCACACCCUGCUCAUCCUCCCGCGCCAACACCCUCCUUCGGCUGCUCACGCCUGCAGCUUCCUCCGCGAGCUCGUGCAGCCAUGGCCGCCACAAGAGCCUCGCGCCCGACCCCCUUGCCAAGGCCAUGGACGCUCGUGUCCCCGACCUUGCAGUUGGCCGUCUGUACCUCUACUUCGGAUUCGCCAAGUACCGCAACACCGAAUGCACAACUACCAUCGACCCUCAAGACCACAAGUACCCUUUAGAUACACCAAGUGUACGACUACGCCCGGUGAUGCAACAAAUACCUCUACCGUCGACCCUCGAAGGCACCAUGGACGUGAAAGAAGGUGGAAGGUGGGACAGCUUCGGCUGGGCGCUCGUCGGCGAGCUCGUCGGCCGUCCGGCUCUCCCCUCCGCUUGCGGCCCUCUCGGCCUCUCCUCCACUUCUUGCGUCCCCGUCCCCCCUGUAGGUGCGACUCCAUCCCAGCACCUUGAUCCUGCUCCCGGCACCUCCCUGAUCCUACUCGAUUUAUCUCAUGAAAGAAUGAUCCUACUCGUUGGUGGAUCUGCUGCUCAGGGCAUCCUCGACGUUCCUAACCUCAAGAAGUGCGGCGGCGGCAGAUCCGCGUGGAGGCGUCGAGCGCAGCUGGAUCGUGAAGGCCUCUGCAGCCUCCGUGCAGACGCUCGAGGUCAACAACGCCACCAUGAUGUACAGCUGCGAGCUGCCCACCCGUGUCCUCAGCCUCUUCGUCCCACUCUUGGUGUCUCCUCAAAGAUCCUCAGCAGGGAGCGCAUCAUUGUCGUCAACUCCAAGCUGAUCCGAUGCGUCAAGAGUUUAGGUCCAGGACUCCAGGGGCAGGCGCUAAUGGAGAGUUUGAGAAUGAAUGCGAGAGGACUUGAUACAUCAUGGUCUCCUUGUGCUUUGUUGUUUGGUUGGUGUAGAAUCCCUCAGCUCUUACCAAGAGGCUCUAGCUUCGAACAUGACUCUUUUAGUAGUUGGAGUGUUGCACGCAUGGAAUUGAUCGCAGGUUUAGAGAGGAAGCGAAGCAGCAACAGUUUGGGUUCAGAGAAGAUUAGGAGCAACAGUUCAUUGGAGAAGGAGAGGUACAUCAGCCGAGGGCAGCAGCGGAGAGCAAAAUCAGCAGAGAAAGCAGCACGCCUUUAUCACAAGAUGGACGAGCUUGACAUCAAUCAACAAUCUGAUAUCCCUUUACAUGAAGUAAGGCUAGCAUCAAAAGAAUCUUAA
rnacentral:rRNA from 1 species